rnacentral:rRNA from 1 species
CGGCAAAAGCUCAAAUUUGAAAUCCUUCGGGAGUUGUAAUUUGUAGGUUGGGAGACCCCGCGGCUAGUGGCACCAAGUCCCUUGGAACAGGGCGCCUUAGAGGGUGAGAGCCCCGUAGGUACCACAAUACCGUCUUGUGUCUCCUCUCCAAAGAGUCGAGUUGUUUGGGAAUGCAGCUCAAAGUGGGUGGUAAAUUCCAUCUAAAGCUAAAUACCGGCGAGAGACCGAUAGCGAACAAGUACAGUGAUGGAAAGAUGAAAAGCACUUUGAAAAGAGAGUGAAACAGUACGUGAAAUUGUUGAAAGGGAAGGGCUUGCAAGCAGACACGGCCUUCGUGCCGGGCCAGCAUCGGUUGCUAGGGGUGGAUAAGGAACAAGGAAUGUAGCUCCUCGGAGUAUUAUAGCCUUGCGCGAUACACCCACUGGCGACCGAGGCCUGCGGUAUUCUUUACCUAGGAUGCUGGCGUAAUGGUUGCAAGCCGCCCGUCUUGG